UACGUAGGUGGCAAGCGUUAUCCGGAAUUAUUGGGCGUAAAGCGCUCGCAGGCGGUUUCUUAAGUCUGAUGUGAAAGCCCACGGCUCAACCGUGGAGGGUCAUUGGAAACUGGGAGACUUGAGUGCAGAAGAGGAGAGUGGAAUUCCACGUGUAGCGGUGAAAUGCGUAGAGAUGUGGAGGAACACCAGUGGCGAAAGGCGACUCUCUGGUCUGUAACGUGGACGACUGAGG
rnacentral:rRNA from 1 species